rnacentral:rRNA from 1 species
UAGAUUGCGGAUCCGCGGCCGCAGAGUUUGAUCCUGGCUCAGGACGAACGCUGGCGGCGUGCCUAACACAUGCAAGUCGAGCGGAGAAUGCAAGAUGUUUACAUUGAGCAUUCUUAGCGGCGGACGGGUGAGUAACACGUGGGUAACCUGCCUCAGAGUGGGGGAUAGCCUUUCGAAAGGAAGAUUAAUACCGCAUAAGCUUGUAGCAUCGCAUGGUGCAGCAAGAAAAGGAGCAAUCCGCUCUGAGAUGGACCCGCGGCGCAUUAGCUAGUUGGUGAGGUAACGGCUCACCAAGGCCACGAUGCGUAGCCGACCUGAGAGGGUGAUCGGCCACAUUGGAACUGAGACACGGUCCAGACUCCUACGGGAGGCAGCAGUGGGGAAUAUUGCACAAUGGGCGAAAGCCUGAUGCAGCAACGCCGCGUGAGUGAUGAAGGCUUUCGAGUCGUAAAGCCCUUUGAUCAGGGAUGAUAAUGACAGUACCUGAAAAACAAGCCACGGCUAACUACGUGCCAGCAGCCGCGGUAAUACGUAGGUGGCGAGCGUUGUCCGGAAUUACUGGGCGUAAAGGAUGCGUAGGUGGAUAUUUAAGUGGGAUGUGAAAUCCCCGGGCUCAACCCGGGAACUGCAUUCCAAACUGGAUAUCUAGAGUGCAGGAGAGGAAAGCGGAAUUCCUAGUGUAGCGGUGAAAUGCGUAGAUAUUAGGAGGAACACCAGUGGCGAAGGCGGCUUUCUGGACUGUAACUGACACUGAGGCAUGAAAGCGUGGGUAGCAAACAGGGAUU